rnacentral:rRNA from 1 species
GAUGAACGCUGGCGGCGUGCCUAACACAUGCAAGUCGAGCGAACAGACGUGGAUCUUGCUGCUCAGGCGUUAGCGACGGGUGAGUACGUAACACUUGGAUAACCACACUAUCAGACUGGGAUAACUACUGGAACCUGGACCUAAUAGCAGAUAAUGUAAUCAACCGGAGGGUGCAAUAGUGACUGACUGUCUUGCUGUUACGUCUAGAUGGUACCGCGCCGCUGUAGAUAGUUGGUAAGGUAACGGCUUACAAAGGCAACGAUGCGUAGCCGACCAGGGAGGGGGAUCGGAGACACUGGGACUGAGACACGGUCCAGACUCCUACGGGAGGCAGCAGUAGGGAAUCUUGCGCAAUAGGCGAAAGCCUGACGGAGCAACGCCGCAUGAGUGAUGAAGGUCUUCGGAUCGUAAAACUCUGUUAUUAGGGAAGAACAACUGUGUAAGUAACUAUGCACGUCUUGACGGUACCUAAUCAGAAAGCCACGGCUAACUACGUG